rnacentral:rRNA from 1 species
AUUGAACGCUGGCGGCACGCCUAACACAUGCAAGUCGAGCGGCAGCGCGAUAUGUAGCAAUACAUAUUGGCGGCGAGCGGCGGACGGGUGAGGAACACGUAGGAACCUACCCUCGAGUGGGGGAUAAGCAAGGGAAACCUUGGCUAAUACCGCAUGAGCUCGAGAGAGCAAAGCUGCCGCAAGGUGGCGCUCGAGGAGGGGCCUGCGUCCGAUUAGCUAGUUGGUGAGGUAAGAGCUCACCAAGGCGAUGAUCGGUAACUGGUCUGAGAGGACGACCAGUCACACUGGGACUGAGACACGGCCCAGACUCCUACGGGAGGCAGCAGUGGGGAAUAUUGGACAAUGGGGGCAACCCUGAUCCAGCGAUGCCGCGUGAGUGAAGAAGGCCUUCGGGUCGUAAAGCUCUUUAGGUUGGGAAGAAGGGUGAUGGAGGAAAUGCUAUCACUUUGACGGUACCGACAGAAUAAGCACCGGCAAACUCUGUGCCAGCCGCCGCAGUAAGAC